rnacentral:rRNA from 1 species
UACGGAGGGGGCUAGCGUUGUUCGGAAUUACUGGGCGUAAAGCGCACGUAGGCGGCUUUGUAAGUUAGAGGUGAAAGCCCAGGGCUCAACCCUGGAAUUGCCUUUAAGACUGCAUCGCUUGAACAUCGGAGAGGUAAGUGGAAUUCCGAGUGUAGAGGUGAAAUUCGUAGAUAUUCGGAAGAACACCAGUGGCGAAGGCGACUUACUGGACGAUUGUUGACGCUGAGGUGCGAAGGCGUGGGGAGCAAACAGG